rnacentral:rRNA from 1 species
GACAGAGGUGGCAAGCGUUGUUCGGAGUUACUGGGCGUAAAGAGUCUGUAGGUGGUUUGUCAAGUCUUUGGUGAAAGGCCGUGGCUUAACCAUGGGAAUGCCAAAGAGACUGGCAGGCUGGAGGCUGGGAGAGGGAAGCGGAAUUUCUGGUGUAGCGGUGAAAUGCGUAGAUAUCAGAAGGAAGGCCGGUGGCGAAGGCGGCUUCCUGGAACAGUCCUGACACUGAGAGACGAAAGCGUGGGGAGCAAACAGGGAUUAGAUACCCUGGUAGUCCACGCCCUAAACGAUGGGUACUAAGUGUGGGAGGGUUAAACCUCCCGUGCCGCAGCCAACGCAGUAAGUACCCCCGCCUGGGGAGUACGGCCGCAAGGUUGAAACUCA